UAAAAAGUUUAUUAUUUUAUGGAUUUAAAAAAUUUCAGUAUGACCUAUUAUGCCGUAAACCGUUUAAACCUGAGCAUGCGCAACUCACAUCUGCACUUGACUCAUAUCCGGUGGUGCCAAGUCAGCAAGCACUAAACCAGGGCCUCUCCUAAAUGGAAUGCAGCCAUCAUUCAUGGUUUUGAAUACAUCUGUGUUUUUCCUGCUAUGCCAUGUUACCAUGUCUGCUGUGAAAAAACUCUAUAAAUACAGAAACGGGGAAUAAUAUAUACAAAAUAGCUAUUUCUGUCUUGAAAAAAAAAACAGUAGAAUCCGCCUUCACAUUUGUGAUACGUAUGCAGUUGUAGAAUGUAAACUCCUCUUCAGGUCAUUAAAACACAUACAAGAAAAUGAAUUGUAUAGUUUGCAAUUUACAACAAAUGCCAUUUAUUUAGGUACAGUAUCCACAGUUGUUUUUGUUGAAACCAGGGUAGUAACUGCCAUGAAUGACUUAAUAAAUGGGUAAUUUGGGUUCUACAUUAUAAGGAACAAAACAUAACAAUUUCUAAGAAUUAGCAACUGACAAAACCAUUUUCAUUACCACUGAGUGGACUGAAGUCAUGUUAUGUGUAUUUUUGUGUGAAUUUGUGGUUUUACAGCCUGGUUGAAGAAUACAGUAUACACCCCAAAAUGUUAAAAAAAGUGUCACAAGGUGGGUAUUUUGAAGUAUGAUUUAAGUAUGUUUAGAUGCAAGUAUUGUAAAGAUUUGACUAGUUUGACAACAAACAUAUAAAUACAUAUAUAAGAUUCA